GAUGAACGCUGGCGGCGUGCUUAACACAUGCAAGUCGAACGGAAAGGCUCCUGCUUGCAGGGGUACUCGAGUGGCGAACGGGUGAGUAACACGUGGGUGAUCUGCCCUGCACUUCGGGAUAAGCCUGGGAAACUGGGUCUAAUACCGGAUAGGACGAUGGUUUGGAUGCCAUUGUGGAAAGUUUUUUCGGUGUGGGAUGAGCUCGCGGCCUAUCAGCUUGUUGGUGGGGUAAUGGCCUACCAAGGCGUCGACGGGUAGCCGGCCUGAGUGGGUGUACGGCCACAUUGGGACUGAGAUACGGCCCAGACUCCUACGGGAGGCAGCAGUGGGGAAUAUUGCACAAUGGGCGCAAGCCUGAUGCAGCGACGCCGCGUGGGGGAUGACGGCCUUCGGGUUGUAAACUCCUUUCGCUAGGGACGAAGCGCAAGUGACGGUACCUUGAGAAGAAGCACCGGCUAACUACGUG
rnacentral:rRNA from 1 species